GUGAUAGGGAGGGGUGGUCAUCACGAGGUUUAACUGAGAUGGAAAAAUACUGAACAGCACAAUAGCAGGAACUGAGCAACUGUUCUAACUAGGCUGCGAUACCAGAACAGUAAGGAUCUAUACAUCGAGGAGGGAGAACUCCAAGAAGCACCAAGAGGUGUGGACCCGCCUGAGCGCCUGCAAUAGGCUGGGCAAGUUUAAACCACGCCCAGUCUCUACUGUGAUAGGCCAACAGACGUGUUGGAACUAUGUCUAUCACAGUAUAAAGAAUACUGUUUUACAUACGUCUUGUCAGUUCUCUGUUCUGCCCUGCGUGGUAUUACAGUGAGCCCGUAUAUACGAAAGUUGCAUUUGCCAUUUAUUACUUAGCUAAUAAAAAAUACAUAGUAUACAAUCGGUGACUCAUUGUUAUAUUUAUCCUGAACUAGGAAAGGACGGACAACGUAUCCAGUCUAACACACAACAACGAUACUAUAAUGUAUCCAAUUUACCACCAGAGACAUUCUCCAGAGGACAAGGAAGAUCUCUGUUGAGCAACACGGCCUUCCAUCUAUGACCAACCUAUUGAAGCCGCAGCUCAGAAUAGCCAAGGAAGUUGCACAGAACUUCCCCAACAUCCCCUCCCAAAUUGAUGUGGAGCAACUGCGGAAAAAAAUGGCUGAGGAUAUACUAAAAAUGUCUGAGUUCAACAAAGCCAACAACUGCUUCAUGUGUGACACUGAUGAAGAACCUGGAUGUGGCCCAAAGACUGACUGGACAAAAGAGUUCAACAGAGUCAAGAACACAAACUAGAAGUGCAGUCUUUGUUGUUGAAAAUGUAUGCUAUACCCCAUCCACACUGAAGAGGCUCUGAAAUGUACAUCAACCAGGGAUAAAGAGAAAGUUAAC